GAUUACUUUGUUCUUUCUAGUGUUUAUUAGAGGACCUGAUCGAGGGCCAAAAAAAGAGAGUAGCAUCGUCAAUCAUCAUUUGCUGUGAAGUAAAAAAAACAACCAAAUUCACGAGAGAGGACAGACCUUGAAACAAGAACCGAAGAACUUAAAUUUACGAUCAUGGUAGCUUGCAAAAACUAUGCACUCGCUUGCCCGAUGGCACGAGAUGAGAUCUGCUACCGGAGGAUUGGGCAAGGCUUAUUCAGCAAAUUGACUUAGAAAAAAGUUUGCUGGUGUAGCAAGACAUCUUGACAUGGAUUGUGAACCAUGAAGGGAAAUCCAAUAUACAGAUGAACAGAAAUCUCAGUGCAUAAAGUGGUUCUUCAGUUUCUUUUUGCUUCCCGGAGUCUUUAUGUGUGCUGCAUGAUUAUGCUAAUUCAUUCCCAUCUGCAAACCAUGAAAGAAGAGCUGGCUUGAAGAUUUGGCACACAAAACUACAGUAAGUUGGUGUCAUCGAAUUUUUCCUAUUCAAGCUACAUGUAGUUUGAAUGAGCCAGACCUAAGGAUUGUUGUUCAAAAGCUUGUUCUCAAGUUUAUAAAGGAUAAGCCAAGCAGACUUGCUUUACCAAUAAAGUUUGCAGUUGGAUGCAAUAGAAGAGGACUUGAAGAGACAGAGCUGAAGAAUUCAAAAGAUAAAUAUGAUGGUUUUGAUUUACUACCUUUGUUGGACUGCCACAAAUGCUUUGAAGUCGUAGCUGCAGUAGUUAAGGAUGCUAGAUCAGAUUCAUUUGUAGAUCUAAAAAACCCCGAGGUAGAGC